rnacentral:rRNA from 1 species
GUCUACGGCCAUACCACCCUGAACACGCCCGAUCUCGUCUGAUCUCGGAAGCUAAGCAGGGUCGGGCCUGGUUAGUACUUGGAUGGGAGGAUGCUUGAGGUGUUAAUGUAGGGUGCUUGAGGUG